UUCGGGGUAUGGUUAAGAACGUUUAAGUGAACUAAUUGGCAUAGUUAAUUUUCAAAAAAAAAAUUAAAGAAAAAAUUAAGUUUAAAAAGUAAUUAAAUGUAGCAUAUAGCGUUGUUGUAACACGGGCAUUACAUUUAACUCAACCAAACAAUUGAAAUCUGUGACAUAUCAAUGUCAUUUCGAACAUUGAUCGACCGAGAUUGUACUUAAGUUUAGUAGCAAAUGUAUGAACUCAUUCUUAACACUAACCAAUAUGUAAACCAGCCCUAAGGCAAGUGUACACGCUUGUAGAGGCCUUAUAGGAAAAAAAUAAAUUAUUGAUUAUCUCCGAAAUGGAGUUAAUUAGAACAUCGGUGUCUUUGAGAAAGUUACUUAAUUUAAGCUCAGGAAUGCACCCUUGAAAUUAACGGAAAUCAAAAAAAACACGUAAUAUAUGAUCAUUGUCAAGAGGGCGCUGUUAUUCUCAUGUAUAGGGUGACAGUUCAGUAUAGUAUGAAAAAGUUCCAGUGAAAUUCCGCAUGGCGCGUGAUCGUUAUAUUCCUGUACGGUUACCAUCAGUUUGUCACUGACAUAAACGCCGUCGAGAACGUAAUUUACUUUCUAUACAUCCCGUUUGCACUAAUAUGCGAGUGCGAGCGAGAUGUAUAGAAAGUAAAUUACGUUCUCGACGGCGUUUAUGUCAGUGACAAACUAAUGGUAACCGUACUGGUCAGGCUUAAAAUUCGACAUUUGUGGGUUUGAAACCUUACUGGUAUCGUUGAGUUACACGUAUAAAAUAUAAUUUGAUAUUAAACUUUGGUGUGAUUUAAAAGCGAAUUGUCUGCUCGUUAAUCAUAAAAAAAUUGUAUUACAGUAGCCAUCAGAAAAAUCGAAGCGGCCGAGAUGCUCAAAACUAUCUGAACAUGCACUCUAAGUGCACUCUAACAAUAUGGUGACGUACAUUCUGAUAUUUGUGAGCGCCUUGGCCGCUCCGAUAUAUCUAAUCGCAACUGUACAAAUUUGCGAUCCAAUAAUUUUAUAAUCAGAAGUAGGGAUCCUUAUCUUUAAUUCAAUAAUACAAUUAACUUGAAUUCAUAAACUUAUAACUAGUAACAUGAAUAACUGAAACGAUUAUUUAGCAGAAAAGUAUCAAAAUUGAAUACGAAUUCCAUUAAUUUAUUGAAAAGCGAGUGACAAAAUUUAAUGUUUGCUCAAUAACAAGGAGCUUCCGUUAUUAUUAAUUAUACAAUUCAAAAUUACGAAGCCAAAUUAUGUAUUAAUUGCGAUUGUUUGAACAAACUGUAAUGGAUUCGAUGAACAACGUGAUGAACAUUUUCUUCAUUGUGUGAUCAUCUUUAAUGUUUCAUGUAAAUCUACCAAUACCUAUUGCAAAGAAUUCUAGCCAAGGUGUUAAAUGAAUUAACGAGUAUAAUUUUAAUGACGUCUAGAUAGGUUUUAGAGAGAUGGCAGUCUAUUUCGCAAAAAACAGUGCCUAAGGACGUCAAACCUAAAUAAGGGCUCGUUUACACAGGGUUAACUGGCGUAUUGGGCAGUCAAUAGCCCCGCAUUCAAUACUUUAAAGCGAUAAGCGUCUCUGUGUAAUCGUGCCUUUAUUUUGUUGAACAAAUUUUUAGCUCCUUUUGGACAAAGAGGAAAAGUAGCUACGAAUAUUGGUGUAUUUACAUGAAAAUAUAUCAGCCAUCAACACGAUAUCAUGCUAAAGGCUUUCCUACUUUCUAAUUAUCUAUAUAAUAAUGUCAACCUUAGUACCUACUUCGAAUAUUUUGAAAUUAUUAAAUUAAGGACGAUUUUCUGAACACUAUCCGGGCCUUUUCAGAAAUAAAUAUUGAAAACAUGAUUCUUUCACAUCUGGACAUUCUUGGGCUCAUUCUUCUUAGAAACGACAGCAUUCUCCAUCCCACCAUUAAAAAAAGAUGUCCCAAAAUGUCCAUUCCAUUACGUCACGUUUUAGUAUGAAAAAAAAUCCACUUGUAUGUGCGUGACGUAGUGGAAUGUACAAUUUUCAUAAAAAAAUUUGGGACAUUUUAUUUUAUCAUCAGAAUUGAAUAUGCUAGUGAUUCUGAGUUGAAAGAACCCAAAAACACCGGGAUCUGUGAGAAUCGGAUUUUCGAUAUUUAUUUCUGAAAACGCCCAUCCUCUCUCAAAGGACAUAUUUCCGUCCUAAAGCAGUCGAUAUAUUUUGAAUUAUCCUCUUGUCUUGGACCGUUGAAGCGAAAAGAAUGUAGUGUCCGUUCUAUGUAACACAUAAAUACCUUGCAAAGGUAUUACAAAUGAAUAAAAUGAUGAAAAAACUA